rnacentral:rRNA from 1 species
GGCAGGCCUAACACAUGCAAGUCGAACGGUAACAGGAAACAGCUUGCUGUUUCGCUGACGAGUGGCGGACGGGUGAGUAAUGUCUGGGAAACUGCCUGAUGGAGGGGGAUAACUACUGGAAACGGUAGCUAAUACCGCAUAACGUCGCAAGACCAAAGAGGGGGACCUUAGGGCCUCUUGCCAUCGGAUGUGCCCAGAUGGGAUUAGCUAGUAGGUGGGGUAAAGGCUCACCUAGGCGACGAUCCCUAGCUGGUCUGAGAGGAUGACCAGCCACACUGGAACUGAGACACGGUCCAGACUCCUACGGGAGGCAGCAGUGGGGAAUAUUGCACAAUGGGCGCAAGCCUGAUGCAGCCAUGCCGCGUGUAUGAAGAAGGCCUUCGGGUUGUAAAGUACUUUCAGCGGGGAGGAAGGGAGUAAAGUUAAUACCUUUGCUCAUUGACGUUACCCGCAGAAGAAGCACCGGCUAACUCCGUGCCAGCAGCCGCGGUAAUACGGAGGGUGCAAGCGUUAAUCGGAAUUACUGGGCGUAAAGCGCACGCAGGCGGUUUGUUAAGUCAGAUGUGAAAUCCCCGGGCUCAACCUGGGAACUGCAUCUGAUACUGGCAAGCUUGAGUCUCGUAGAGGGGGGUAGAAUUCCAGGUGUAGCGGUGAAAUGCGUAGAGAUCUGGAGGAAUACCGGUGGCGAAGGCGGCCCCCUGGACGAAGACUGACGCUCAGGUGCGAAAGCGUGGGGAGCAAACAGGAUUAGAUACCCUGGUAGUCCACGCCGUAAACGAUGUCGACUUGGAGGUUGUGCCCUUGAGGCGUGGCUUCCGGAGCUAACGCGUUAAGUCGACCGCCUGGGGAGUACGGCCGCAAGGUUAAAACUCAAAUGAAUUGACGGGGGCCCGCACAAGCGGUGGAGCAUGUGGUUUAAUUCGAUGCAACGCGAAGAACCUUACCUGGUCUUGACAUCCACGGAAGUUUUCAGAGAUGAGAAUGUGCCUUCGGGAACCGUGAGACAGGUGCUGCAUGGCUGUCGUCAGCUCGUGUUGUGAAAUGUUGGGUUAAGUCCCGCAACGAGCGCAACCCUUAUCCUUUGUUGCCAGCGGUCCGGCCGGGAACUCAAAGGAGACUGCCAGUGAUAAACUGGAGGAAGGUGGGGAUGACGUCAAGUCAUCAUGGCCCUUACGACCAGGGCUACACACGUGCUACAAUGGCGCAUACAAAGAGAAGCGACCUCGCGAGAGCAAGCGGACCUCAUAAAGUGCGUCGUAGUCCGGAUUGGAGUCUGCAACUCGACUCCAUGAAGUCGGAAUCGCUAGUAAUCGUGGAUCAGAAUGCCACGGUGAAUACGUUCCCGGGCCUUGUACACACCGCCCGUCACACCAUGGGAGUGGGUUGCAAAAGAAGUAGGUAGCUUAACCUUCGGGAGGGCGCUUACCACUUUGUGAUUCAUGACUGGGGUGAAGUCGUAACAAGGUAACCGUAGGGGAACCUGCGGUUGGAUCACCUCCUUACCUUAAAGAAGC